CAUCCCUCUGUGCACGAGGCCCCCUGAUAGCUCCUUGCAGGUUCAAUUUCCUCUUCUUAUAAGAACAGCAGGCAGAUUGGAGUAGGGCUCACCCUAAUGGUCUCUUUAAACUUAAUCGCCUCUUUAGAAAUCCAUUCUCUAAAUACAGUCACAUUCUGAGGUGUUACGGGUUAGGGCUCCAACAUACGAGUUUUGGGGAAGCACACUGCCGCCCAUACAAGAAGUCUUCUCAAAAUGGACGGUGUGUUAGCAAUCCACCAGUCCUAUUUGAAACCCUUUCCCUCGGUGUGCGGGACCAAGGUGAGGCACACUGGACCCUCUCUUUCCUUCCCCUCAGCUCCCUCAUCGCCUCACACAGCUCUCCAAGAGGCAGCUGACCCUAUGGACCCAACCGCCUCUCCGAAGAGUAGCUGCGCCCUUGGUAAAGGAGGAAAUGGAAAAGGAGAAACUCAGUGAUCUCAGACAGACUGAAGCCAAGAAAUAGAUUUGAAAAGUUCCAGAAAUUCUCUCACUUUGGAGACGCCCCCACACACACUGCACCCUGCCACCUUUAAAAACCCCUGCUUGGAAGCCAUCAGGGAGUUCGGGUCUUAAGCGAUAGCUGCUCAUUCUCCUUGGCUCUGCUCACUGCAAUAAAUGUCUCACUUUCUCUCACUGC
rnacentral:lncRNA from 1 species